ACUCCAGCAGGGUUGAGGACUCAGGAUGGAGGGGGGUCCAUGGGGGACAGAGGGAGGCAUUCCUGGCUGACGGUCCACACAGUGGAGGAGGGAUGAGAGAUGAGACCUAAGGCAAUAAGAAGGUUGUGAAUGCAGACAUAUCUUCUAAACUUUCCUCGGAGGGCUGUGGGGAGCCACAACAGGUUGCUCAGAGGGCCCGACGGCAUCAGGUUGGUCUCAGGGAUCGUCAGUGUGACUGCGGUGGGGAGGAGGCCCAGGAGUGGACAGGAGUGGAGGCGGUACAGGCCAUGGUGAGGAGACGUGGAGAUGGGAGCCCACCCACCCGGGCUCCUUCGCUGUGCGUGGGUGGGGCUGGAGGGUGUCCAGACACACAGGUUCCCUUGACCCCUCCUCCCCCUCAGCUACAGUGGUUGUGGGCUGGGGAGAGUAGCAGGUUUCCCUUCCUGAACGGCUAUCAUCCCCAGCCCGGCUCAGGCCGAGUCCAGCUCCAGCCCCAGUGGCUAAUCCUGGUGACACUGGGUCCUGAGGCCGGGGCGGGGCAGCCGGGCAGCUGGCCUCAAUUAGCCGGGGAGCCGGGUCUGGACAGUGUCAUUAGGAGAAAACCAGAGCCUGGCCAUAAACUCUAAUGAAUGCAUUAAUGGAAGGCUUGUGCGCCUCAAAGGGGAAAAAAAAAAAGCGGGUCUAAAUAAAGUUAUUAACACAGCCCACCUGUGUUCGGCUCUCGGCCUAUAUUGUUCAAAUAGCCCAUUAACUCCUGAAGCAUCCAGUCUUGAAAGCAAGCCCUGCCUCUCUGAAGCAGGCGUUUAACUGCGUUCAUAUAAUUCAAUUAGAUCCCGCAGUCGUGGUCCAAAGGCAUUCUCUGGGCUUUCAUCUCGGUAGCCUGGGAGAGAGAUGGGCCCGUGCACCUGUCCACAGAGAGCCUCCAUGCAGCCGUACCUCCUGGGCCGGCCCUGGCACCGCCAGCUCCUGAGUUCGCCCUGCCCCUCGGACGCCGGCAGGUACCGGUCCUGUUCAAGGCAAACUGCCGUCAUCCAAGAGACGCCCAGGUGUCGGGGACCACAGGCGAGCUGUAAAUAACCCAGUCCGUGGCUGUAGAUCACCUCUGGCUGGACAGCCACGCCACCUCCACGGCCGCCCAGCUGGUAGACGCAGCCGCCUUUGGGAACAGGUGGCCCGCAGGGGCGGUGGCUGGUCUCCGCCGCAGCCUUGGAGGACCAGCCUGAUUCCAGCCUCAGACAACCCACCCACCCAGUGCUCGACCAGGCCCCAGCCACAGGCUUUCACGUUAAACAGGUUCUGACACUAAAAAUCAAGGUCUGCCGGCUGUUGUCAUAGGAAUGCAAUAUCCUCCGGAGGUCUCCUUAUUAAAAAACCACAUCUUGCGGCUGCCCAGGCUGGAUCUCUAUUUCAUUUGUAUUGAUCACAGGGAAAUGUCUCAUUCCCUGGCUGACAAAUGCAGCCAGUAGGGAGGGAGUCCGUGUUUGGUGGAAAACAUUUAUGUUCACAGUGAUCUGGGGGAUCCUGAGGCCGGAGCUGUGAGGCAGUCUUAAAAAGGAUAAGAUGGAGGACCCUCCAAGAUGUAUUAGAAAAUGGAAAAAAGCAAGCUGCAGAAUUGUGUACUGGCAACUACUGUUUUACUUCCCUGAAGAAGCUCAUGAUAUUAUAAUUCAAGUGUCAGGACAGAUUAGGUUAAAUGAACUGUGUAAUUCCCGAAGGAAAACAAACUUCAAAACGGACGCGGUUCGCCUUGUAACAUGUCAUGGAUUGCAUUAGCGUUGAACGGGCGAUUCCAUCACCCAAAUGUGCUAAAGUUGGCUCAAAUGUUCCCCACUCUGCAAGGGCCAGGGCCGUCGGGGCCACGGCUUAUCCAUCAUUGCAAAGAUCUCUCUGAGGCAUGGAGCGGAGGCAGCCCUGCCCAGAGGGGUUGGAAAAUGAGCGGCAUAUGGGGCCCUCAGUCCCAGGACCUUCUUGGCUUGGCUCCCGGGGAAGGGCGUGGGCUUCUUGGUCUGGAAACCGCCCAGGGAAGGCCUCUGGGGAGGCAAAGGCACACGGCUUCAGAAAAAUGGUACAUCUCUGUGGCUUUGGUGACCAGGUCUGCCUUUCCGGGCUCUUCGGAUUCCCCCAUUUUCCCCCAGCCCCGAGACCAACUUUGGGGAGAGGGGAAGCUCACACCUCAGAGAUCCAGACACCUGCCGCGGUGCUGGGGAGGGGAUGCUAGUGAAGGUGGGAAUGGUGUUUCUAAGCAGCCCUGGAAGGUGAGCAAAUUCCGGUACCUCUGUAUGGUCUCAGGAACCUGCAUCCUUGCUCCUCUGCAUUCCCUUCCUCCGAGUGACGAGGGGCUGUGAACUCUCCGACCUGCCCAGGUGGAAUUCUGAGAUCGUCAGAAGUCCCUCCUUUGAGCCUCAGUUCCAUGAGUAUCAAACUGCUGGGGAGACUUUGGGGGUGGGGGAAGCAACAAGUUUGAGCCAAGAACCCAUGAUUGAAAUUCUCCACCAAUAAAUUCCUCCCAGCUGAGCCCCAAGGGUCUGUAGUUGGUUCAGCAAGCUGGGGCGGCAGGAAGCGGGUGGGGGUCUGCCAACUUCAAACAGGACCUGGGGUGGCGG
ensembl:lncRNA